CCCAGCUACUCGGGAGGCUGAGGCAAGAGGAUGGCUUGAACUCAGGAGGCAGAGGUUGUGGUGAGCCGAGAUCACAGCACUGCACUCCAGCCUGGGUGACAAGAGCAAGACUCCGUCUCAAAAUAAAUAAAUAAAAAUAAAAAAUAAACAUGAUGAUCACAGAUGCAGUCACAUUUUCUGAGUUCUUGUCUCUCUGCCAGUGCCACCCAGAUAGCCUCACAAAACUUUGACCCAGCCACUGUUAGUGUCGCCACCGCCCAUAAAGGAGCUGAGCCCAGCAGGGGCACUGCCUGGGGCCCUGUAGCCAAAAGGCUACAGCAGGAGCUGAUGACCCUCAUGAUGCCUGGUGACAAAAGAAUUUCUGCCUACCCUGAAAGCCUUAUCAAAUGGACACCAUCCAUGAAGCAGCUGGCACAGUGUAUGAAGAUCUGAGGUAUAAGCUCUUGCUGGAGUUCCUCAAUGACUACCCACCUUUACGAUGCACCCACAGUGAAGUUCCUCACACCCUGCUACCACCCUAACGUGGACACCCAGGGUAACAUAUGCCUGGACAUCCUGAAGGAGAAGUGGUCUGCCCCGUAUGAUAUCAGGACCAUCCUGCUCUCUAUCCAGUGCCUGCUAGGACAACUCAACAUUGAUAGCCCUUUGAACACACAUGCUACCAAGCUCUGGGAAAACCCCAUAGCUUUAAGAAGUACCUGCAAGGGUCAGGCGCAGUGGCUCACACCUGUAAUCCCAGCACUUUGGGAGGCCGAGGUGGGUGGAUGGAUCACCUGACGUAGAGAGUCCAAGGCCUGACAAACAUGGAGAAAUGUCAUCCCUAUUUAAAAAAAUAAAAAAAUUAGCCAAGUGUGGUGGCGCAUGCCUGUAAUCCCAGCUACUCGGGAGGCUGAGGCAGGAGAAUCACUUGAACCUGGGAGGUGGAGGUUGCAGUGAGCCGAGAUCUCGCUAUUGCACUCCAGCCUGGGCAACAAGAGUGAAACUCUGCCUCAAAAAAAAAUAAAAUAAAAUAAAAAUAAAAAUAAGGAAGUACCUGCAAGAAAGCUACUCAAAGUAGGUCACCAGCCAGGAGCUCUGACCCAGGCUGCCCAGCCUAUCCUUGUGUUGUCUUUUUAAUUUUCCCUUAGAUGGUCUGCCCUUUCCGUGAUUUCUGUGUAGAACUCUGUAUCUUGAGCUGUGGUACUAUUUUUCUUUUGUCUUUUAAUUUAAACCUUGGUGGAGCCCUUGUGAUGAAUAUUAAAUACAUACAUUU